rnacentral:lncRNA from 1 species
UAUUUGGGAUCAACAGCCAGACGGUGUUCCAUAACUUCAGCAUCGAUCCCUGGCAUGUCCGUCGGAGCCCAAGCGAAAACAUCCACAUUCUCUUGUAAAAAAUUGAUGAGCUGUGUCUGCACCUCUUUCCCCAAGUUGGAGCUAACCUUCACCACGUGCUCUUCAUUCCCAUCAUUCAAAGGAAUUGAGAUAAGAUCUU